UUCUUGAUGAUGAUUUUGAUGAGGGGUGGGAUAAUCCACUGUAUGUUUCAGCAAAUGAAAAGACAUCUACACCACUAUCCCAACCUAUCAGGGAAGGUCAAUCUGCAAAAUCAUUAUUGAAGUCAUUUUCGACAGUCAAGGAAACUAGCCCUAUGUCUAAUCUUGUUGUUUCAAAACCAAACAUCUUGGUGUCAGCCAAGAACUGGUCAGACCCAUCGCUGAAAAAAUCACCAUCCGAAAAUCCAGCACUAGCACGCUUCAGAGGCUUUACGUUUUCCCAUUCUAAAGAUAUGGUGAAGAUAUUUCACAAAAAAUUGGUCUGCACCAUUUUCGAACAAAUCAGCUGGAGGCCAUCAAUGCUUCUCUGUUGGGUGAAGAUUGUUUUAUCUUAAUGCCCACUGGUGGUGGUAAAAGUCUGUGCUACCAGCUACCAGCCUGUUUAUCCCCUGGCGUCACUAUUGUAAUUUCUCCACUGAGGUCAUUGAUAUUAGAUCAAG